rnacentral:rRNA from 1 species
UACAGAGGGGGCAAGCGUUGUUCGGAAUUACUGGGCGUAAAGGGCGCGUAGGCGGCCGCCUAAGUCAGACGUGAAAUCCCUCGGCUCAACCGGGGAACUGCGUCUGAUACUGGGUGGCUUGAAUCCGGGAGAGGGAUGCGGAAUUCCAGGUGUAGCGGUGAAAUGCGUAGAUAUCAGGAAGAACACCAACGGCGAAGGCAGCUCGCUGGGACGGAACUGACGCUGAGGCGCGAAAGCGUGGGGAGCGAACAGG